ACGAUAGCGAAGCCAAGCGUAGGCCCCUCCGGCUCCUAAACGAAGACCAUAGAAUAAUGCCCUCUCUCUUGCAUCACGACCAACUUCGCUACAAAUGGCCUCAACUUCUCUCCGAAAUCAGGAAAAAAGCCAUUUUUCAUGCUUCCUAGAGGCGAAAUAUGGCAUCUUGAGCCCAGGUGGGAAGGGAAGGUGAGCGCUUUGAGUCAAGAAACUGGUUGCCGUAGGGGUAUUUGGUGUCUUCUCAGGCCGGCUAUGUUCCCGGUACUCGUGGACCGUGCAUCAAGGGACAGAGAAGCGCCGCGUGUCUUAGUAGGAGGGAAGGCAAGAGAUGGAAUGCGAAUUUUGUGAGGCGGAGCUGCGUCGAGUGCGGAAAAGUCGAAACGAAAGGAAAAAAAAAGGACGGGAGCCAUUAAAGCUGGGAUUGUGUGGCUCCGUUCCCAGGUUGGAGCAGCAGAUCCUUAUCCUUCUCCCAUCUCAACCGCACUUCUUCUUUCUCUCUCCUUUCUCUUCCGGUGAUCUCUUCUUGAUCGGUUAGUUACGGUAACUUUUGUUUUUGGGUGUGAAGUUGAAGCUUUCUUUCUUGUGGGUUGGUUUGGUGGGGGGGGGGGGGGGGGUGGAUUUCUGCGAGAAAGAUGGUACUUUGGGGUAAUGGGGAGAGGUUUUUGGUGGCGGAAGAAUAAAGGUUCGGUCUUGGUAGUUGGUCUCUUCAUUCUGAGGCCGUGUAGACUGGGUUUCGGGGAGAUGGCGGUGGGAUAGGAGGAAUGGAGGGCUCGGAGGAGGCGUCGGGCUGGGAAAGGUCCUCCACUUCCCGGGCCCCCAAUACCGCCCCCUGCGUCGUCUCGAGCGGCAGCUUGGGCCCCACGGCCGGCCCGAGAGACAGGUCGAGGGAGGAGGAGGAGCUGGGCCGCCUGCUGUCCUGCACCGAGGACGGGAGCUUUCGGCCGGCCGGCGCAGCGGUGGCAGCGGCGGAGGAGGAUGUGGAGGAGGGCGGGGAGGUGAGCCUGAGGGUGUGGUUGGACCGGUGGAGGCGGCCGGUGGACCUCCUUGAGAGCCUCCACGUCUUCCGGCAGAUCGUCGAGGCGGUGAGCCUCGCCCACUUGCAGGGCGUCGUCGUCAGCAACGUCCGCCCCUCCUGCUUCGUUCUAUCUCCCUUCAACCGUGUCUCCUUUAUCGAGUCCGCCUCCUGCUCCCCCUCCGGCUCCGAUUCCUGCGAGGAUGGCAGCGGCGCAGACGAUAAGUCCCGUGGCCGACAUCGGCCAUCAGAGCAAAAAGGGACUGCCGAGGCCGCCGCCUUCGAGAGGGCGUCGGACGCCAGCUGCCUGCGCUCGGGCUCAGCGUAUGUCGAUGAGGUGGAGGAGAAAAAGGCAUUUCCUUUGAAGCAGAUACUGCGCAUGGAGUUGCAUUGGUAUACGAGCCCGGAGGAAGCCAGUGGCGGUCCAAGUACGUUCGCCUCGGAUAUCUAUCGAUUGGGUGUUCUUCUAUUUGAGCUGUUCUGCACGUUCGACUCAUUGGAUGACAAGCUUGGGACCAUGUCCAACUUGAGACAUCGUGUUUUUCCCCCUCACCUGCUGCGCAAGUGGCCAAAGGAAGCUUCUUUUUGCUUGUUGUUGUUGCACCCUCAGCCGGAAAGCCGACCAAAGAUGAGUGACAUAUUACAAAGUGAGUUCCUAAAUCAACCAAAAGAUAGUUUGGAAGAGCGUGAAGCAGCAAUUAAGUUGAGAGAGGAGAUAGAAGAUCAAGAAUUACUCCUGGAGUUUCUUUUGCAGUUGCAGCAAAGAAAACAGGAAGCUGCUGAUAGAUUGCAUGAUACAAUCUGUUUUCUCUCUGCUGACAUGGAAGAGGUUCUAAACCAGCAGUCAAUUCUCAAGCAGAAAGGAGGCUCCUAUACAGAAUCAGAGAAAGAGGAGCAUUCAGCUAUAAAUAAAGUGGACCAACCUUUGCAUUAUCCUGCAAUAGGUGACGACUUAUCCUGCUCUGGUUCCAGAAAACGCUUCAGACCGGGAAUUCAAAAUUUAAAUAAUGAGGAGCAUGAUAAUAUGAUUGAUGCAGCUCCAAGAUCAGAGAUACACCCUCAGAUUCAGGAAGAUUUUCUGUCAAAGAGUUCUCGAUUGAUGAAGAACUUCAAAAAAUUGGAAGCAGCUUAUUUCUCAACAAGAUGCAGGGUGGUGAUGCCAUCAAGCAAACCCAUAAUUAAUCCACUUUCUAGUAGUGGGAGAGGAUCAGUUGUUAGGACUGAAGGAAGCUCAGUACAUGAUAUUUCUUCUAAAGAGGGCCACGGUGGAAGAAAGAAUGAAUGGAUAAAUCCAUUUCUUGAGGGCUUAUGCAAGUAUCUGUCAUUCAGCAAAUUGAAAGUUAAGGCUGAACUAAAGCAAGGAGAUAUUUUAAGUUGUUCAAAUCUAGUAUGCUCCUUGGGUUUUGAUCGGGAUAAAGAAUUUUUUGCAGCUGCUGGUGUAAAUAGGAAGAUUAAAAUCUUUGAAUGUGAUAUGAUUCUAAAUCAAGAUUGUGAUAUUCAUUAUCCUGUAGUUGAAAUGAUGAGUAGGUCAAAACUAAGUUGUAUUUGUUGGAAUAAUUAUAUCAAGAACCAGAUAGCUUCAAGUGACUUUGAAGGUAUAGUGCAGGUUUGGGAUGUUACAAGAGGCCAAGUUUCGGUGGAAAUGAGGGAGCAUGAGAAGCGUGUAUGGUCUGUGGACUUUUCACUUGCCGAUCCAACAAAGUUGGCUAGUGGAAGCGAUGAUGGUGCAGUGAAGCUGUGGAAUAUCAAUCAGGCAAUUCUAUUCUUCCACUUGGUGUUGGAAGCAUUGGUACAAUCAGAACGAAGGCAAAUGUGUGCUCUGUUCAGUUCCAACCUGAUUCUGCAUGCUCACUAGCAAUUGGUUCAGCAGAUCAUAAUAUCUAUUGUUAUGAUCUUCGUAACAUGAGAAUGCCUUUUUAUACAUUAGUUGGUCACACUAAGACUGUGAGCUAUGUGAAGUAUUUACAUGCAUCAAGUAUUGUAUCUGCAUCCACUGACAACUCAUUGAAGCUCUGGGACUUGUCUACAAGUACAUCAAGGAUGCUCGACAACCCUCUUCAGACCUUCACAGGGCAUACAAAUGUAAAGAAUUUUGUUGGUCUAUCUAUAUGUGAUGGAUACAUUGCUACAGGCUCAGAAACCAAUGAGGUUUUUGUGUAUCACAAAGCGUUUCCUAUGCCGGUCUUGUCGUAUAGAUUCAGUACGACAGACCCCAUAUCUGGCCAGGAGGUUGAUGACACAUCGCAGUUCAUUUCAUGUGUCUGCUGGCGUGGCCAAUCUUCCACAUUGCUUGCCGCAAAUUCUAGUGGGAACAUCAGACUUUUGGAGAUGGUAUGACUCCAAAAUUAGAAGUGGAUCAUAUAUCAAGGGAAAUGCUUGUGUCAACACAAUGAUGUUUAUCCUCGGAAAGUUUACAGCUCCGCAGAAGUAUGUGGUACUUCAAAAGCAUGGAUAUCUUUUGUGAAGUUCUUGAAUUUGGUGGUUCCUCAGUGAUAUCAUAGGGGAAGCUGAUAGCAGAUGUAUGACAUAUAAAGGUAAGGAAAAGAAAGUGGGAGAUGGAGAGGGAAAGAUGUGUAAAUCAUUGGUCAUCGGUUUGGGGUUACAUAUACCAUAGUCGAUCAAAUGAGGCCUUUUUACUCGAGUACAUUGUUCUUCUUUGCAUGACCUUUCAUUUGACUGCCAUUCGUUAAUGAAUGGGGUUUGUGUUAAUUAGUCAAUUAAAUUAAGUCUGAUUUUGCUGUGGUCUUGGACCUUAGACUUUGAAGUGCAUCUGCCUAUAUCCUUUUUCUUGGCCAACCUUGUACGGUGGUGGUGUUAGAUGGCAUCUUGGGCAUGUUCGCAAGCUUUUGAGUUCAAGUUGUCUUUAUGCAGGGGACCGCCACUGCUGCGUUUCUUUUGAUUAGGAGCAGCAUCUGCUUAGGAAUCAUAUGGCACAUGAUAUUGUUCAUUUGCUUUGUUGAAUGAAAGAUAUAAUCCUUUUGUUUAA